CACUAAGAACACUGGUGCUGAGUCAGACACAAAACACAUUAAGGACUCAAAAUCCUUCCCUCCCAAUACAUGGUGGGCAUUACACUGGAUGUUGGAAAAUAAGCUAUUGCAUGUGCACACUAUCUGGCCUUCCAAAAAAAGCAGCACCCUAUGAAUCAGGAAGCAGGAAUGCACCCUAAACGUUAAUUUUAAGCAAGGUGAUUUUUGUUUGUUGAAAUUUUUUUUGCAUUUUUUCCUUUUACUUUUUGCAUUGUUUUAUUAUUUAAACCAUGGCACUUCUACAAAUUUAACUGAAAAGGUUGACUAAUACAAGUAGGAUCAUUUCAUGAACAGAAAAACAUCCAAAAACUGAAUUAGAAGCCACUGGAUGGCCUCACAUACUCAGAAAUGCUUGGGGAAACCACUUCUGGAAUAUCUCACUGUGUAGGACAAUUUGAACUUUAAAGUCACAUGAUGAAACCAUUGGUUUUCUAAACAUGCAACGUAUACAGUAUGAAUAACUUAAAACCGAGUUCCUGCUUCCCCUGCAGAACUGUAGGUUUUUGUAGUCUGUGACUGUCUGGGAUUUUUAGCUUGAUACACAGCAACUAAAGAGGUGACUUUGUUUAUGCAGGAAGCAAAGUAUGUAUUUAAAAAGAGUUAUUUCUUCCUAACAGUAAUUAUAUUUCAUCUCACUAUUCACUGCGAAAGCCUCAGCCAGUUGCAUCUGUGGAACAUUUCUUUGCAGAGUCCAGCGUUGCCUCUUAUGUAUUACAUUGAAUUGCUCUGCUCUAGCUGUUGGCAGUGAAGGAUAAUUUAUUAGCUGUGUGCCUGGCUUCAGAGAACAGGAGUCUGACACGUACACCUUCACUGCCAGCACACAAAGCGUAACAGAUCAGACUAGAGUAACGUAGUGCCAGGAAAAAAAAAAAUACACAGAAUGGGAAGGGAGAGACAAUAUGAAUCAGAAGCAGCAAACAGUCCUGUGGCACCUUAUAGACCAACAGACGUAUUGGAGCAUAAGCUUUCGUGGGUGAAUACCCAUUUCGUCGGAUGAAUCAGAAGAACAGUGGACAGAAGAGCAACAGGAGAAUGGUGUUCAACUAUAAUGAAAUGGAGAAGAACAAAGGCAAGGAAGGAGAUAAUCUAAAGAGGUGUAGGAAAGAAAUAAGCAAAACAAGAUCAAAAAGUUCAUACAAACAGAACAUAUUGAGGAUGAUUUUGUGGUUGAGGCACAGGACUUAAAUUACAUGAGAUAGGGAAUUAAUUCCAGGCUCUGCCACAGCCUCCAUGUCAUGUCUGGUGCCUCACUUCCCUAGAUGCAAAAUGCUGACAAUGUUAUCUAUGUAACUUACAGGAGAAUUGUGAGGAAAAUUUAAAUACUGUUUGUUAGUCGCUUAGGGUUUAGAUUGAUAAGUUCCACGGUAAACCAAUAAAGAAAGGACAUAUAAUCAGGCAGAACAUAAACUGUGGGGAGUUGUUGAGAGUACACCGCAUGUCAUUGCAGUAACAUAAGGAUUAGCAGCAAAUGUAUGGAACACCAGAAUUUAUCAGAAAGUGGUUAAAGGGAAUGUUAAGUCCUUCAUGUUUUCCAUACUGGAAGCUCUACACAGCAGCAGGAAGGGUGUUUCCCAGCACAGGUAGACAGAAAGCUAGCGUGCUAAAAAGAGCAUGGCUACAGUGGCACAGGCAGCAGCUCGGGCUAGCCAGCCAAGUACCUACCUACGGGAUCAGAAGGGUUUGUACUUGGGUGGCUAACCCAAGCGGCUGACCAUUCUGGGGCAGCCACACUGCUAUUUUCAGCAUGCUAACACAAGCAGAGCUAGCAUGCAACUAUCUACCCACAUUGAGAAGCACCCUAACAGCAGCUGGAUAAAUAUACUAGUGUUUUGAGUAAAUUUACAGCCUGCUUGACUGCCUGGAUUUUCUGCAGUGGAAGGGGUGUGAAAUAAUUGCCUUUCAAGCAUUCUGCUGCCUCCCCCACAGCCACACAUCUAUUUACUUUGCAGAGCUAGUGUGGAACUCCUCAAACCCAGCUGAUAAUAUUAUUAGGGCAUACAUCUAUCAACACAGAUUCAUAAGAACAUAAGAAUGUCUAUACUGGGACAGAACAAUGGUCCAUCUAGUCCAGAAUCCCGUCUUCCAACAGUGGCCAGGUGAUUCGGAAGGAAUGAACAGAAGAGGGCAAUUACUGAGUGAUCCAUUCCCUGUCAUGCAGUCCCAGCUUCUGGCAAUCAAAGGCUUCGGGAUACCCAGACCAUGGGGUUUCCUCCCUGACCAUCUUGGCUAAUAGCCAUCGAGGGAUCUAUCCUCCAGGAACUUAACUAAUUCUUUUUUGAAACAAGUUAUACUCUUGGCCUUCACAACAUCCCCUGGCAAUGUGUUGCACAGGCUGAAUGUGCACUGUGUUAAUUAAUUCCUUAGAUUUGUUUUAAAUCUGCUGCCUAUUAAAUUCCUUGAGUGACCCUGGUUCUUUUGUUAUAUGAAAGGGUAAAUAACACUUCCUUAUUCACUUUCUCCACACCAUUUAUGAUUUCAGUACCAGUUUGCCUGGUACUGAAGUUAGGCUUACCGGCCUGUAAUUGCCAGGAUCACCUCUGGAGCCUUUAUUAAAAAUCCAUGUUACAUUAGCUAUCCUCCAGUCAUUUGAUAAAGAGGCUGAUUUAAGUGAUAGAUUACAUACCACAGUCAGUAGUGCUGCAGUUUCAUAUCUUUAUAUGCUACUGUGGCAGGUUUCUUUGCUAUGCCCCUAUCCCCAAGGAUGUUAAAUUGAAUUACAUUAUGGUUGCUAUUAUCAAGAGAUUCAGCUAUAUUUACCUCUUGGACCAGAUCCUGUGUGCCACUUAGGACUAAAUCAGGCAUUGACUCUCCCCUUGAGGAUUCCAGGACUAGUUGCUCUAGCAGUCACGGAUGGUGACUAGAAAUUUUCUCUCUACAUGCCAUCCUGAGGUGAUACGUACCCAAUCAAUACAGGGAUAGUUAUCUAGUUUUCUGUUUAUGUAGCCUCUCUAAUCUCCCUGAGCAUUUCACCAUCACUGUCAUUUUCCUGGUCAGGUGGUCGGUUAUACAUUUCUACUGCUAUACUCUUACUAUUCAAGCAUAGCAUUUUUAUCCAGAGAUUCUAUGCUACAGUUCGAUUCAUUUAAGAUUUUUACUAUAUUUGAGUCCCUGCAUUAAAAAAUUUUCUGACCAAAUGGCCUGAAAACUUUGCAUAACAGAUUACCAUAAAAGAGAUGUGGGCACCAGGAUUAUCUUAUUACAGGUUAAAGGAUCACAUACAUCCAACAAAGAAGCUUUGUUUGAACCUCAGGAUCAGUUUAGAAGUAUACUAGUGCACUCUCACAGUGAAUUCACAAAGCAGCAUUGGUUUCAGUCUUUAAAAAUUCUGCUCAUCUUAGAAGUAAUAACUAUUAGCAAAUAAUGUAUAGAGGCUAAGCCAAUUGUCCAACAUCACACAGUGAAUCAACUGCAGAGAUGGCAAUAGACCCCAAUAACCUUAGACUUCUGGUCCCGUUCUAUAACUACUAGAGAUCAUGCUCCUCCACUGAAUCACCCGAUCCUGUGAGGUGUUGCUUAGCACCUCCAGUAAGGUGUUACGGAUCCUCAACUUUCUUUGAAAUCAGUUGGCGACAACUGCCAAGCUCUGUGCACCUUGUAGGAUAGAACUGAAGAAGGAAAAAUAGAUUUUGUAAUAAUGUCUGUCAGAGAAAGAAGCAUGGCUCUAAGUGUUAGUUUGUGUCCCCUCCAACCGUAUAAAAGAGCGUGGCUAGUGAGUCCUUUGGACUAAACCCACACUUACGGAGAACUCUUUCCUACCUUAGUCUGAAUUCACAGCUGACAGCAUGUGUUCUCCUUUUUCAAAAACACACCUGAAGAGAUAGCAAAUGAAAAGACAAGGCUGAUGUUUGUAGGUUUUAAAAACUACUAGCAGGAAAGAAGCUCCCAGAAGCAAUUUACGAGAAAGGACUGACACCUAAAGUACUCACUUUAAUCUUGCUAAUUUUCCAGUUUAAAAAUAUUCAAGGAUACACCACAAGCCUCUAACUACACAAAAAUAGCAUCUUGUGUUUAUAUUUUUAUUCUCCUGGGGUGGACCACAUGUCCAUGAAUUCAAGCAGGCACUGUGGGUUUAUUGAUUAAGGAAAGGAAAGUUUUAAAACAGCUUGUUGUUUUAGUAAGAUCUCACUAACGUGUGGAGUUUCCCUUGAAUUUUUUUCCAGCACAGUGCACUGCUAGGAUUAAAAGAGAAAACAAUUAGGCCUUAUCUACACAGGAAAGUUUUACUAGUUAUACUAAUAUAUCUAUUCAGAUAUAAUUAUAGCAAUGUAACAAACCUGUCUCCCCCGGCCCCACACACAUACACACACACACAAAUUCAAACACCCUUAACUCUAGUGUGAAUGCCCUGCUACAAUUUAGCUUAAACACCUUACAAAGUGACAAACUAAACUGAAAAAAGACACUUGUACACUGGAAUAGAAGCACCCACAUGAGGAGUGAUACUAGUUUAAAUGCACACUUGUUUAAAUUUACAUCUUAGGAGAGAAAGGGGGAAAGAGAGAGAACAGGGAGGAAGAGGAAAAGAAAACAAUUGUAGACAAGGCCUCAGUUGUAAUUUUAAUUUGUUUCUGGCAUCUUUCUUGAUAAGUGUGAAAAAAUGAGACCUAUACAGGUUGAGAAUAUCUUCUUCAAAAUGUCACUGAGCACAAAAGCAGUAGGAUAAAUCUACUCUUGUCAGUAAUCAAGAGGAUGCAAUUUAUUAAGGCAAUAAGUUGUAACUUCUACAGUUUGCUGCUCUAUGUCUAAUUUUCCUUGUCUCAUAGUCUUCUUGGUCAUAUGCUUUGGAUAUGCAAAAGGGGAGUUAGAUGCAAGUAUGAUUUCCUUGGCUAUAGUCAACAAAUGGAGCUAAUAUCAGUACCAAGGCCAGAUCCUGGACAACUGCAAACAUACAUCAGUAUUAUCACUGGUUUUUCAAUAGUCUGAUGUAGGCUGAUAUUAUUUACGGUGAAAUCUAAAGCUACCUUCUUGUUUUCUUGAGCAAUGAUACUACCAUGAAAGUACCCUGCUAUAAAGCUAUAUUGAGAUUCCAUGUAAGGGAACUGGACAUGGUAACUCGAGAGGUUACUUGUCCAGAAGUCUGAAAGGAGUUCAGAAAACAGUAAUGGAAACAUCUAUAGAGCCAGAACUAAUUACAAAUACUCAAUGCUGUCAAAAAGUUGACAGCUCCAGAUGAAAAUAUCACAGGAGACUAAGGUAAAAAAGCUCUUUAACCAUAGAAAAAACAUCUCACAUUUAUCUCAGCCUCCCAACGUCAUUGUGUAGGAUAAUUCCUUAAAUAAGUGACCACCCUCCUCCAUGUGCCCAGCUUCCCUUCAUUACCUCACAGUCUAGCCUCUUUGGCCAUGUCUAAACUACUAACUUUGGUCGAUACAAGUUGGGCAUAAAGCCGCCAUAGUCAGCAUAUCGCUCAUGUGCAUGUAUACUUGGUUCCUUGCAUCGGCACGGCACAUACUCACCAGGAAUACUAGUGUUGAUACACAGUGUGGUGCACUAUGGGUAGGUAUUCUACUAUGCAGCUUGCCAUCUGCUGGCACACUGUCUUUUGACAACUUUUGGCAAUACACGGUGGGGCAGAAAUGAGUCACACAGUGGUGUCUGUGAGCAAGAGGUCAAGUUCCCAGCAUGCAACUUACUUCAUCCCAUAAUGCAAUAAUUUUCCGGCCUUUUUUUAAAAUCCCCAAAACCUGUGCGGCAUUUCUCACUGUCCAUCAUCUCUGACAGAAGCACGGAGCCCAUACAGCUCUGCAGUAUUGUCAUGAGCAUUGAAAACACAGGAUGAAUGAACCUCGGAUAUUCACAGAGCCGUAGAAAGAACCACAGGAAGAGGGGACAUGACAAUUUUGUAGAGAACAGAUUGCUCUCUGACAUAGGCUAAAACAAUUCAAGGCUGUUGGUGGCCUUCACAGAGCAGUUGCAGAUGGUGGAAUG